GACGAACGCUGGCGGCGUGCCUAAUACAUGCAAGUCGAACGCAGUGGGGACGGGCGAGUAACACGUGGGUAACCUCCCAUCAGAGGGGAUAACACUUGGAAACAGGUGCUAAACCGAUACUGAUGGAUGGACCCGCGGUGCAUUAGCUAGUUGGGGAGGUAACGGCUCACCAAGGCAAUGAUGCAUAGCCGAACGGAGAGGGUAAUCGGCCACAUUGGGACUGAGACACGGCCCAAACUCCUACGGUAGGCAGCAGUAGGGAAUCUUCCGCAAUGGGCGCAAGCCUGACGGAGCAACGCCACUGGAGUGAAGAAGGUUUUCGGAUCGUAAAGCUCUGUUGUAAGAGAAUCGGUAUCUUACCAGAAAGCCACGGCUAACUACGUGCCAGCAGCCGCGGUAAUUC
rnacentral:rRNA from 1 species